rnacentral:lncRNA from 1 species
AACAACCACUUACCAGUGUGCACUUGUUGGUCUUUAAUUUCAACGAUCUUGAAUCUUGCUCUUGUGUUCUUCAUAAUAUGUGAUCUUCAAUUCUUCAUGUCUUCUUCAGCUCUUUGAUCUUCAGAUUUGUGUCUUCAAUGUCUUAACUUCUGUAGUGGAUUGUCUUUGAUUUUGAUUCUUCAGUUCACGAGACAAUCAUAAUCUUGUCUUCAUAAUUUUUUAUUUUGAUUCUUUAGUGCAUGAGGCAGUCUAGUAUUGUCUUCAUACAAUCCAGAACAAUUUUAUUUUCUAGUACUAUAUCCUAGUGAACCAUAGCCUUCUUAGAAGCAAAAACACUUAAUCAGAGUUAUCAAGGCUAUGUGGUUAUGACAGACACACAGAUUCUAAGCAUGUAUAAUGCUUCUGCAAGAGCUU